rnacentral:rRNA from 1 species
AAGCCUGUGAAGGUGGCCUGUGAGGGUUGCUGGAGGUAUCAGAAGUGCGAAUGCUGACAUAAGUAACGAUAAAGCGGGUGAAAAGCCCGCUCGCCGGAAGACCAAGGGUUCCUGUCCAACGUUAAUCGGGGCAGGGUGAGUCGACCCCUAAGGCGAGGCCGAAAGGCGUAGUCGAUGGGAAACAGGUUAAUAUUCCUGUACUUGGUGUUACUGCGAAGGGGGGACGGAGAAGGCUAUGUUGGCCGGGCGACGGUUGUCCCGGUUUAAGCGUGUAGGCUGGUUUUCCAGGCAAAUCCGGAAAAUCAAGGCUGAGGCGUGAUGACGAGGCACUACGGUGCUGAAGCGACAAAUGCCCUGCUUCCAGGAAAAGCCUCUAAGCAUCAGGUAACAUUAAAUCGUACCCCAAACCGACACAGGUGGUCAGGUAGAGAAUACCAAGGCGCUUGAGAGAACUCGGGUGAAGGAACUAGGCAAAAUGGUGCCGUAACUUCGGGAGAAGGCACGCUGAUAUGUAGGUGAAGCGACUUGCUCGUGGAGCUGAAAUCAGUCGAAGAUACCAGCUGGCUGCAACUGUUUAUUAAAAACACAGCACUGUGCAAACACGAAAGUGGACGUAUACGGUGUGACGCCUGCCCGGUGCCGGAAGGUUAAUUGAUGGGGUUAGCGGUAACGCGAAGCUCUUGAUCGAAGCCCCGGUAAACGGCGGCCGUAACUAUAACGGUCCUAAGGUAGCGAAAUUCCUUGUCGGGUAAGUUCCGACCUGCACGAAUGGCGUAAUGAUGGCCAGGCUGUCUCCACCCGAGACUCAGUGAAAUUGAACUCGCUGUGAAGAUGCAGUGUACCCGCGGCAAGACGGAAAGACCCCGUGAACCUUUACUAUAGCUUGACACUGAACAUUGAGCCUUGAUGUGUAGGAUAGGUGGGAGGCUUUGAAGUGUGGACGCCAGUCUGCAUGGAGCCGACCUUGAAAUACCACCCUUUAAUGUUUGAUGUUCUAACGUGGGCCCCUUACCGGGGUUGCGGACAGUGUCUGGUGGGUAGUUUGACUGGGGCGGUCUCCUCCUAAAGAGUAACGGAGGAGCACGAAGGUUGGCUAAUCCUGGUCGGACAUCAGGAGGUUAGUGCAAUGGCAUAAGCCAGCUUGACUGCGAGCGUGACGGCGCGAGCAGGUGCGAAAGCAGGUCAUAGUGAUCCGGUGGUUCUGAAUGGAAGGGCCAUCGCUCAACGGAUAAAAGGUACUCCGGGGAUAACAGGCUGAUACCGCCCAAGAGUUCAUAUCGACGGCGGUGUUUGGCACCUCGAUGUCGGCUCAUCACAUCCUGGGGCUGAAGUAGGUCCCAAGGGUAUGGCUGUUCGCCAUUUAAAGUGGUACGCGAGCUGGGUUUAGAACGUCGUGAGACAGUUCGGUCCCUAUCUGCCGUGGGCGCUGGAGAACUGAGGGGGGCUGCUCCUAGUACGAGAGGACCGGAGUGGACGCAUCACUGGUGUUCGGGUUGUCAUGCCAAUGGCACUGCCCGGUAGCUAAAUGCGGAAGAGAUAAGUGCUGAAAGCAUCUAAGCACGAAACUUGCCCCGAGAUGAGUUCUCCCUGACUCCUUGAGAGUCCUGAAGGAACGUUGAAGACGACGACGUUGAUAGGCCGGGU